AGGUCUUAUAGUCUAGUGGUUAGGACAGCGGUUUUUGAAAUUACCCUGUUGGGCCAUCAAAAAUAUUUACCGUUAGCCCCGGUUCGAACCCGGGUAAGACCUU